rnacentral:rRNA from 1 species
UACGAACUGUGCAAACGUUAUUCGGAAUCACUGGGCUUACAGGGUGCGUAGGCGGCUUGUUAAGUAGGGUGUGAAAGCCCCCGGCUCAACCGGGGAAUUGCGCCCUAAACUGGCGAGCUGGAGUGAGAUAGGGGUGUGUGGAACUUCCGGUGGAGCGGUGAAAUGUGUUGAUAUCGGAAGGAACGCCGGUGGCGAAAGCGACACACUGGAUCUUGUCUGACGCUGAGGCACGAAAGCCAGGGGAGCGAACGGG